rnacentral:rRNA from 1 species
UACGAAGGGGGCUAGCGUUGCUCGGAAUUACUGGGCGUAAAGCGCACGUAGGCGGUCUUUUAAGUCGGGGGUGAAAUCCUGGGGCUCAAUUCCAGAACUGCCUUCGAUACUGGAAGACUUGAGUCCGGGAGAGGUGAGUGGAACUGCGAGUGUAGAGGUGAAAUUCGUAGAUAUUCGCAAGAACACCAGUGGCGAAGGCGGCUCACUGGCCCGGUACUGACGCUGAGGUGCGAAAGCGUGGGGAGCAAACAGG